rnacentral:rRNA from 1 species
UUACAAUGGCAGGUACAGAGGGGUGCUACCGGGUGACCGGAUGCCGAUCUCGAAAACCUGUCCCAGUUCGGACUGGAGUCUGCAACCCGACUCCACGAAGUUGGAUUCGCUAGUAAUCGCGCAUCAGCCAUGGCGCGGUGAAUACGUUCCCGGGCCUUGUACACACCGCCCGUCAAGCCAUGGGAGCCGGGGGCGCCUGAAGUCCGGGACCGCGAGGACCGGCCUAGGGCGAAACUGGUGACUGGGGCUAAGUCGUAACAAGGUACC